AUUUAAGUUUUAAUGUUUGGUAGAUUUGGUCUUAGUCUCCUUUCUUAAUUUAAGUGAUAUUUAAACACAUGGUAUCUUAUGAGUUUCAGUAAGUAAGUAAAUGGGAAUUUAAUAAUGUUAGUUAAAUACUAAUUAUUUUUAUCUUACUAUGGCAUAAUUUUUAUAAUAAUACGUUGAAUAUUAUUUACUCGAACACCAGUGUUGGAGAUUGGUUUAUAGAUUUAGGUCUGAUUCAGUAAUUGACUUAUUUUAAGGCCUGGUAAAGUUUGUGCCAGCCACCGCGGUUAGACAAACAUGGUCGAAUUAAGAUUAGUACAGUAAAAGAGGGGGUUAGAGAGUCUGACAAGAUUAACUUGUUAUAGAAGAAAAAUUAAAUUUUCUGUAAAGGUGGAAUUUGACUAGGAAAGCUAAUUUCUUGUUUUCUUGGAUCUUGAGGCCCUGAAAUCUCAGGUAAAAACCGGGAUUAGAUACCCCGUUAUUUGAGGUGUAAAUUUUAAUCUUAAUGAAUAUUUACUAGAGUAUUACGGAUUCUGUAAAUUUAAAAUUUAUUGGAAGUGAUCUAAAACUCAAAAGACUUGGCGGUGCCUUAAAUCCUUCUAGGGGAACCUGUCCUAUAAUUGAUAGUCCACGGUUUAUCUUUCCUUUUUUUGAAUAAUUAAAAUCAGYUUGUAUACCGUCGUCGUCAGAUUACCUCUAAGAGUAAAGAAGUUAUCAAUGAGAAUAUUAUACAUCAGUAAAUAAUUUAGUUAUAGAUUGUAGUGUAGUUUUCUGGACGUCAGAUCAAGGUGCAGCCUAUAGAAAGGAAGAGAUGGGUUACAAUAACUAAUUGUUAGACGAAUUUCUUGUUGCAAAAUAAGAUUAAAGGCGGACUUAGAAGUAAUUAAAAGAGGAAUAGAGAGCCUCGGUGAAGGUGGCUCUAAGGCGUGUACACAUCGCCCGUCGCUCUCGUUGAAAAAUGAGAUAAGUCGUAACAUAGUGAGGGUACCGGAAGGUGUCCUUGGUGAAAAAUGAUCUGUAAAUUAAGUAUGAAUUUAAGAUUAAUUUCGA
rnacentral:rRNA from 1 species